GUGCAGACAGCGUCUCUGUUCCAUUUUCUUCUAAGUGAAAUGGACGUGAUCUGAAGGUGCUCAAGGACAUGGCCAGCGCUGCGGCCAGACGCAGACGGGAAGGCAGAGCCAGCAUGGCCUGGGCUUGGUAUGCCGCUGAUAAGGCUCCUGUCUCGUGGAUUACAGGCAGGAUCAACUUUUGGGUUGUGUGAGAGCUGUGAGAAUCCUUUCUCAAGUUCAUUGUCAAGUGAGGAGCAGAGGAGCUGGAGCCGUGGGGCGAGGCUCCGGCCUCAGUCGCUGCGCUUCCCCGCUUCAGAGCUGAUGUUCAUGCUCCUGCUGGGCUCCUGCAGUGGAGAGCGUGGAUGUUCCUGUGUCCAGGCCCCCACUGGUGCCUGAGGAGAAAUGGGUGAGUGCAUUGCUAGGAAACCCCUCUCUGGUGCAGACAGGAAAUGUUCCCAGACAAAGCUCCUUGAGCACCCUCCUCCUGACCCAGGUGUUGGCUCCACCCGGAGGGCCCCAGGAGGCUGGUUCUGCUUUGUUCAAG
rnacentral:lncRNA from 1 species